rnacentral:rRNA from 1 species
GACGAACGCUGGCGGCAUGCCUAAUACAUGCAAGUCGAACGAACCAUCCUGAAGAUUGAAGCUUGCUUCAUGAUUCAGAUCUUGGUGAGUGGCGGACGGGUGAGUAACACGUGGGUAACCUGCCCAAAAGUGGGGGAUAACAUUUGGAAACAAGUGCUAAUACCGCAUAACAACUACUUUCACAUGAUCGUAGCUUGAAAGAUGGCUCUGCUAUCGCUUUUGGAUGGACCCGCGGCGUAUUAGCUAGUUGGUGAGGUAAUAGCUCACCAAGGCAAUGAUACGUAGCCGACCUGAGAGGGUAAUCGGCCACAUUGGGACUGAGACACGGCCCAAACUCCUACGGGAGGCAGCAGUAGGGAAUCUUCCACAAUGGGCGAAAGCCUGAUGGAGCAAUGCCGCGUGAGUGAAGAAGGUUUUCGGAUCGUAAAACUCUGUUGUUGAAGAAGAACAUGCGUGAGAGUAACUGUUCACGUACUGACGGUAUUCAAC